rnacentral:rRNA from 1 species
UACGUAGGGGGCGAGCGUUACCCGGAUUUACUGGGCGUAAAGCGCGUGUAGGCGGCUGGUCAAGCGUGGUGUGAAAUCUCCGGGCUCAACCCGGAAACUGCAUUGCGAACUGACCUGGCUGGAGUGCAGGAGAGGGCAGCGGAAUUCCCGGUGUAGCGGUGAAAUGCGUAGAUAUGUGGAGGAAUACCGAUGGCGAAGGCAGCCCCCUGGGCCAAUACUGACGCUCAUGCACGAAAGCGUGGGGAGCAAACAGG